GAUGAACGCUGGCGGCGUGCCUAAUACAUGCAAGUCGAGCGAACGGACGAGAAGCUUGCUUCUCUGAUGUUAGCGGCGGACGGGUGAGUAACACGUGGAUAACCUACCUAUAAGACUGGGAUAACUUCGGGACACCGGCUCUAAUACCGGAUAAUAUUUUGCACCGCAUGGUUCAAAAGUGAAAGACGGUCUUUCUGUCACUUAUCGAUGGAUCCGCGCUGCAUUAGAUAGUUGUUAAGGUAACGGCUUACCAAGGCAACGAUGCCUAGACGAACUGAGAGGGUGAUAGGCCACACUGGAACGGAGACACGGUCAAGACGACUAAGGGAGGCAGCAGUAGGGAAUGUGCCGCAAUGGGCGAAAGCAUGACGGAGCAAGGCCGCGUGAGUGAUGAAGGUCUUCGGAUCGGAAAACUGUGUUAUUAGUGAAGAACAGAUGUGGAAGUAAAUGUGCACAGCUUGACGGUACCUAAUCAGAAAGCAACGGCUAACUACGUG
rnacentral:rRNA from 1 species